rnacentral:rRNA from 1 species
CCUACGGGAGGCAGCAGUGGGGAAUAUUGCACAAUGGGCGAAAGCCUGAUGCAGCGACGCCGCGUGAGGGAUGACGGCCUUCGGGUUGUAAACCUCUUUCAGCAGGGAAGAAGCGAAAGUGACGGUACCUGCAGAAGAAGCGCCGGCUAACUACGUGCCAGCAGCCGCGGUAAUACGUAGGGCGCAAGCGUUGUCCGGAAUUAUUGGGCGUAAAGAGCUCGUAGGCGGCUUGUCACGUCGGAUGUGAAAGCCCGGGGCUUAACCCCGGGUCUGCAUUCGAUACGGGCUAGCUAGAGUGUGGUAGGGGAGAUCGGAAUUCCUGGUGUAGCGGUGAAAUGCGCAGAUAUCAGGAGGAACACCGGUGGCGAAGGCGGAUCUCUGGGCCAUUACUGACGCUGAGGAGCGAAAGCGUGGGGAGCGAACAGGAUUAGAUACCCUGGUAGUCCACGCCGUAAACGUUGGGAAACUAGGUGUUGGCGACACUCUACGUCGUCGUGCGCGNGCUACGACUACUACGUUACCCGUCCGUCGGGACGGUACGGCCGCGACGACGUAAACGUACGAAGUAAGUAGUAGUUACGCGUGAGACGUCGCGACGGCGACGACGAGGGAGGAGG